GAUGAACGCUGGCGGCGUGCCUAAUACAUGCAAGUCGAGCGAACGGACGAGAAGCUUGCUUUUCUGAUGUUAGCGGCGGACGGGUGAGUAACACGUGGAUAACCUACCUAUAAGACUGGGAUAACUUCGGGAAACCGGAGCUAAUACCGGAUAAUAUUUUGAACCGCAUGGUUCAAAAGUGAAAGACGGUCUUGCUGUCACUUAUAGAUGGAUCCGCGCUGCAUUAGCUAGUUGGUAAGGUAACGGCUUACCAAGGCAACGAUGCAUAGCCGACCUGAGAGGGUGAUCGGCCACACUGGAACUGAGACACGGUCCAGACUCCUACGGGAGGCAGCAGUAGGGAAUCUUCCGCAAUGGGCGAAAGCCUGACGGAGCAACGCCGCGUGAGUGGUGAAGGUCUUCGGAUCGUAAAACUCUGUUAUUAGGGAAGAACAUAUGUGUAAGUAACUGUGCACAUCCUGACGGUACCUAAUCAGAAAGCCACGGCUAACUACGUG
rnacentral:rRNA from 1 species